CUCAGGUGAAGUUCUUUACUUUUGUGUUGUGUUAGUAUUUUCGUCGGUUCAUCGCUGCGUGUAACGGUCCUAGAUUGGUGAAGACAUCUGUGAGGAAGAGGUCCAAAUUCUCUGGCCAAUAAUUCCUAAGCAGUGGAUUGCGAUGGUUGAGGCAGUUAGCAAAGAACUCCGGUCCGUUGCUGUGUCCGUUGCUUUUACAAAAUGUAUAUCAGUUGAGACAAGAGCCUGGUGUUGCUUAUGUACUGCUCUGGAUGCCAAAAGUUUUCGGGCUUGACUUAAAAGGUUGUAAUUAAGUAAAAAAAACUUUUCUUGCCAUAAAUUCCGAAAUGAACUGUGUAAGGUAUUUUGUAACAUUAACCAGGUGCAGUCUUCAAAUCCAGUGUUUUAAAUACUAAAAGUCGCUCCAGUGUAACAUACAUCACAUGUGAAGCCUAUUGUUAUAU